UAAAAGCAGAUGCCUCAGACCUCCAAAAGGCCAAGGGUUGCUUCUCGAAUCUGACCUAAAAGGGCCUAACCUCAAGGACAGAUCUGAAUUCACCUGACAUACAGCCCCAGGAGGAAUCACAGAGAAAAUGCUCUUACCUGGAACACCUCUACACAGACUGUUGCUGUCCUGCAUGCUGCUUGCAUUGAACUAUGUCAUUCACCAGCUGUGUGUCCCCAGACAAGGCACAUGGGAGCCUCGGUGACCAGGGACCAUGUUGCUAUUCCUUAUUGUGUACCAUGCCAGAAGGAAAUUUUAAAAUCCUGAAAUACUCUUUUUGAUGGCUGGAAGAAAAAUAUGUAAAUUGGUAAUACAGAGAAAAUCUGCUAAUCUUGUACAAGGAAUUUUGGACAAUAUCAUGUAGUUUCAAAACAGACAAGGGAAAAAGAGAAACAUCAGAAAGUCUGAUUAAAGUAGAAGCAUCAUAUUUCUAUCAACGUAUCCACUGUGCUUGGCAGGGGAUGGGCCCUUCUGCUGCAGCAUAAGAGGGGUCAUUCAAUGGCCUGUGUCAGCUACUGGGAUGGACCUGCUGUCCAUGGGAUACUGACACCCACUAGUGAAGCAGAUCUUGCUCUGUCUCUUCUCUGUGUGAGUAAAGUUCUGU
rnacentral:lncRNA from 1 species